UCGUCUCGUUGGUUUUAAUACAACAGCAAACAGGAUCAGAGGUCGUCACGCGCUGCAGAGACACGCCCACCAGUGACUCCUCACACCUCACGACAGUUAGUUCUCACACUGACAGUUACAGUACAUGAGACUUUAAACAUGGACAUUAUCCAACACGGUCUCCUCAGCUUCUUAUUUCUGCUCUGGAACAAAGGACUGACUGAUGGAAGUGAUGUGACCCAGACUGACAUACUGUGGAAAAGAGAAGGCGAAGACGCAACAAUGAACUGCAGCCACAGAAAGGAUAUUACCUACAGCCAGAUGUACUGGUACAGACAGCUGCCAGGAGAAACAAUGAAGCAGAUCGUCUUCACUAGAGCUGGCAUAGAAGAUCAUGACUUUGGAAGUUUCAGCAAAGAGAAAUUCUCAGCCACCAAACCUGAUGCUCAGAGUGGGACAUUCACAGUGAAGAAUCUGGUGCCAGGAGACAAAGGCUUGUAUUUCUGUGCUGUUAGUCAACACAGUGAUGAAGGUGACUGAGACAGCUGCACAAAUACCCAACUGUUGGUGCCACGUGGGAUAAAAGCCAUCAGCACCUUUAAUCAUCUGCUGGGGGAGCUCCAGACCUGCAGACCAUGUUAAGAUUCCUGGUUGGUAUUCAGGGUAAUUUGUGAGAACACAGGCUUUGUGGAAGAACAUUUGGCUGAAAAACACAGGAACUGUGACCUCAUAUGUCCUCUGCUCUAUAGAACACGUUUCAUCCAGUUCAGGGCCACUUUGAUUACUGCUUUAAUUCAAUGGAAAUGCAUUGAAAUAUUUUACAUUUAAUCUUAAAUAAAGUUUCACUCUAUUUUGUGUAGAAUUUUAUAUUUGGCUUUUUCACCAGUUAAUCACAAAAAAGGUCAUGUUUCCUACUUUUCAUGUAUCACAUACCUGAGUUGCUGGCUACAAAGACUCAGUCUGUGACAGAAUGACAUUACGAUAAAAAUCAUUUUAUCUCCUGCUGUCACACACCAUCAAAAAUGUCUCAUUCCACUCUGUUUCAGGUUUCUGACGAGCAUCAAACAUGAAUGAAGACAGACAUAUUAACUGUGUGUGUGUGUGCUGCUGCACAGUAACGACACGUUUUCACAGAGAACACGUGUCACGUGACCUGAUGGAUGACGUGAUGCCGACGUCAGCUGAUUGGUUCAGGGCCUCACUGUAACCCUGUUCUGUCUGUCCAGCAGCUCAAAAUGAUCUCCGUUGUCGUCUUCACUCUUCUCUCUUCUGUGCUGCAGGUAUUUUACCUUCUC